UAUACACAGGUUACUUGCUGAAAGGGGCACUUGCACCGUAAUUGCUGAGCCUAACUCUUGAUAUAAAGGCUACUUGCUGAAAUGGGAUCCUUAACCAGUCAUAGAUGCACUCAACUCUUUAUAUACAGGCUACUUACUGAAAGGGGCCCCUGAACCAGUGAUGAUGGAGGCCAUUAUCCUGUUGCUUCUGUUGACUUCAGCAGCCACUGUUGAGGUGGAGGGAAGGAUAUUGUGUCCAGAAAUUGGUCUGCUUGGGGCUCCCCACAAACCUGACCUGCAUAGAAGCAAGUAGAAGCCACUCCUUCAUAACACCCAAUGGACACACAGCAGGAUCAUGUAACACAACAGCUGGGUAUUGCAUAGACAAUGGCAAGUUCACAGCGUCUGUCAUCAAUACCACCUCCAGUGUUCUAACCAUACAUGCCUUGUUGAAGUCACACGCUGGCUCCUGGAUAUGUGGCAGCGGUGCCGAUAUGCCUGAUGCCCCUAGCUGCCUGAUGACUGUGGCAAAAUUCCCAACAUGCACUAUAACAAGAAGGCAGAAUGAUGACAGUGUCUUCACCGUGGACGAGGAAGUGGCGUUGAAGGUGAACGUAACUGGAGACUACUGUUCUGAGUCGGUCCAGUUUCAGUUGCAAACAGGAAACAUUCAAACGGGUUUGAACUACUCACAAUGGAAGCAAAACACAGAUGUCAUAUUCACUCUGACUGAGUCUCACCUCGGGGAAGUGAAACUGGUCUUCAUCUGUGGACGAUACAGCCAAAGCGUUACCAUGUGAAGGGAUUCAAGAACUGAGAAAUGUUUCCUCUUCUACGGUGAGGAAUCACUUACGAACCUCGACACUUGCACCAGGGAUAUAUACAUUGAAUUUCAUAGCCCCUGUUUGUAUUGUCAGCGUUCUUCUUGUCUUGGUUAUCGUCAUCUCAACUUUAAUCUUCUUGUGCAAGCGACGUAACAGACAUCGUACGUCAAAGAUGGUAAAUGCACUACAUAGUCACAUGUCUCGUGACGCAGGGUAUUCCAACAUCUGUGUCGUGGAGGGAGCAGUUUCUUGGGCAAAUAUCGCGAACAGGUCACUUCCACCUACACCAGGUGUUCAAGAUACCGUUACAGAUCCUGGGUAUGCCGCCAUGGCAGAAGGCGCUGUCAGCAUGGCAGAGACACCUACAACAGAUACAUCGUGUGCUGAAGGAUCAAACCCGAUUGCUAAUCCUGAUGACAUGGUGAUGCACGUUAAGUCAGCC